GUGGGUAUGGCUAAGUUGGUAAAGUGUUUGCCUUGCAAGCACAAAGGCCUGAGUUUGAUCCUCAGAACCUAUG
rnacentral:tRNA from 1 species